UAAAGUGCACACUCAUUGUUUGCCUGGUGCUCGUGUUCUCGAUGUUUCUGCGCAGAUACCCGUGAUCCUGAAGGACGACGAGAGCCCCAGAGCGGUCGUGCUUCACGCCGGUGUUAACGACACCACGCUGCGGCAGACGGAGACGCUGAAGAGGCACUUCAGGAGCCUGAUCGAGACGGUUCGCAGCACGACGCCCACGGCGACGAUCGUCGUGUCAGGACCACUGCCCACGUAUCGACGAGGACACGAAAGGAGCGUCCUAGACUGUUUCGCGCUGAUGGAUUACACCCCAGCAAAAUCGGAGCGGAGCUGCUCUCUGACAACAUCUCCAGGACACUUCGCUCCAUGUGACUAGAUUUACACAAGCUCCAGUCUGGAUCCAGAACACCUGAGAAGAGAUGAUGCUGACCCUCAGAGGACCUCAGAUGAUGCUAACCCUGAAUCAACAAACAGAACUAACAAAUAUUGCUAAAUGUGUGACUGAAUCAUAUAA